UAAUAUACAUAUAUUUCAUUUCAAUAUCAAAUAUUCUCAUCACGAUAUGGCUGAAAUAUUGCUGAUGUGAUGUUAAAUAUUAACUCACUCACUCACUUAUAACUUUGGUUGUAAUUAUGACUUUGGUUUCAUUCAUUUGCUGUAUCAGGAAUGCAUGUCACCACAGUGGUUACAGUUCAGACUGUUCCAUAUGUACAGAUUAUCCAGCAAUAGCAAUCAGCCCUUCCAAAGUACUAUUAUUUUAUUAGAUAUAUUUAGUAAAAGCUGCAACUAAAAUAACUUAAUAUUGGGAUAUGCAAUUUCUAAUAAAAUAACAUUUUCACUUUCACUUAGUAUUGUCUCAAACAUUGUUAUCUGUUAACGGUAAGGUAAAUUGAUAAUUUUGGCCUAAUAUUGUGUUCAAGGCACAGAAAGUUUGUUCACUAAAGGUUCGUUCUUCUUUUUUCAGUCAAUUGAUUACUUCUACAUCUAGUAUUGCAAGAAAUAUUAGGAAGAAAAGGAUAAAGAAUUUCUUUCUGUAUGUUAAAGAAAACAAAACAAAUUUCACGUUUAAGUUUACAUUAUGAGGAUUUAUGAUAAGUAAUGAUAAAAAUAUGUUUUUCAGUAUUUUCAUAUUAGCAAAUUUGUACAGAAAAGAAAUUUGGCCACUGCACUGUAGCCCACAUGCUGAGUGGUCCGAUUCAGCAUGCAACACAUAAUUGACUUAGUGAGUGAGUGAAUUAAGUUUUACCCCGCUCUUAGCAAUAUUUCAGCAAUUCACAGUGGGGGACACCAGAGAUGGGCCUCACUCAAUUGCUUUAGUACAGCAGUUCAGAGUGCAUGUUUAGUCAGUAUACUAGUAAAGGGAUAUACGGCUACAAGGAAGGCAAUUUAUUACAAUUUUUGUUAAAUUAUUGAUAAUAAAAUGGUUGUAACAUAGCAGCUUAUGUUAAAAAAUUAGACUGGAUGAUCCUGUGACAUUCAGUGAUAGACAGUGGUGUUUAGAUGUGUACUAUAUUUAGACUUGUGAGGCAGCAACCUUAUAAGCAUCUCCAUUGACUGAAACAGUGUAUCUGGAAAGAUCAGGUAUUGUUGUACAAAGCAAUCUUAGCACUAAGGGGCCUGUAACUCCCACACUUUAACAUAGUCGUAGCACUAAGGGGCCUGUAACUCCCACACUUUAACAUAGUCGUAGCACUAAGGUUACUUUGUACAACAGCACACUGGUAAUUUUUGUUUAAGUUGUUACCUCUUGCCUCUCACAUUACUGUAAUUGCAUGAACUGUCAAGUAACAAGAAGAUCCAGCAUCGUGUGAGAUGAUGAUUCUACCCAGGAUUAUUCUGCUUUGAUGCCAAUUGGAUUACUGCUGCCGAGAGGUGAAAAAUCAGUCAAUGUCUUUAUUGCUAAUAACUACUGCUCUUGUUGUAUAUUGCAUUUGAAUUUGUACUCGCACUCUGUUUUAUACUUCCAUACUGAUACAUUUGUACUGAUUUGUGAACUUAGUAGAAUACAGUUGUUAAUUCCA